UACGGGGGGGGCAAGCGUUGUUCGGAAUUACUGGGCGUAAAGGGCUCGUAGGCGGCCAACUAAGUCAAACGUGAAAUCCCUCGGCUUAACCGGGGAACUGCGUCUGAUACUGGAUGGCUUGAGAUUGGGAGAGGGAUGCGGAAUUCCAGGUGUAGCGGUGAAAUGCGUAGAUAUCUGGAGGAACACCGGUGGCGAAGGCGGCAUCCUGGACCAACACUGACGCUGAUGAGCGAAAGCCAGGGGAGCAAACGG
rnacentral:rRNA from 1 species